UAAGAACACUUGUAAUAUAAUUCAGUUGAAAACAUAAAAUAAUUAGCCUUUGAAUUUAAAAUCUUCAAUAUCAACCAUCAAAUUCUUUCUUAUUUGUCGCUAAAGGUCCGUUUGUUUUGGUGUAAGUCGGGUGAUGGAACUCAAGUUCCAUCACUUUUGUUAUUUGUUCUGAUGUAAGUCAAUAAUAUAAUGUAACUCAAGUUACGUUAAACCUCCACUUCACAUAUUCCCGACUUCUUCCUUUAAAGUGCCGAACUCGACUUCCACCACACUCAACCUCCUCUAAAAAAUUUAUUAAAUAGUAAAACCUAAACUCUACUUCCUUUAUAAUGGGUUAGAAUUAUCUUAUUUAUAAUAAAUUAGAAUUAACUUUAAAUAAUAAAAAAAAAUUUAAUUAUAUAAUAGGUUAAAAUUUAUAGUGCUAAAUUUACAAUUAUAUUUAGGAGAUAACAGGACCCACUUAGUUAUAUCAAAAUAAACAACGGAAUUCAAAAAACUAAUUUUAUCAGUACCAAGUUACAUCAAAACAAACAGAAGAAAUAAUUAAAUUUAAUUUUUAGUCUGUACGAGUUGCGUUAAAACAAAUAACAGAAAAAUAAUCACACUUUAGAAAAAGGGAAAACUUCAAAAAACCCCCUGUGGUUUCGUGCAUUCUCACUUUGCUACCUGUGUUUUAAAACGUAUCAAUUUACCCCCCUGUGGUUUCAUUUUUAUCUUUUCGGAAGCUUUUUCGUUAAUAUUUCGUUAAAUUAUAUACAAAAAACUUCAGAUAACCAUCUAUAUUUAUCGAAUAGUCACUUUAGUAUCCUUUAAUUUUAACUUUGUCACUGAUUUUUAAAAAAAAUAAUAAUAAAAUUGAUAACAAAAAGAUAAAAACGAAACCACAGGGGGGCAAAAUGAUACGUUUUAAACCACAGGGUAGCAAAGUGAGAAUGCACGAAACCACAGGGGGGGUUUUUGAAGUUUUCCCAAAGAAAAACUCAAACACCACUGCACUUGACUUACGUUGGAUCUAUAAAUUCGUUAAUCCAAACGUCCCCUAAUUGUAACUUUGCUGUAACUUUUGUUUGUUUUU
rnacentral:lncRNA from 1 species